rnacentral:rRNA from 1 species
GGACUACAAGGGUUUCUAAUCCUGUUUGCUCCCCACGCUUUCGCGCCUCAGCGUCAAUGUCGGUCCAGAUGGCCGCCUUCGCCACGGAUAUUCUUCCCAAUCUCUACGAAUUUCACCUCUACACUGGGAAUUCCACCAUCCUCUACCGAAUUCAAGUAAAACAGUCUUGAGUGCAGUUCCAGGGUUGAGCCCUGGGCUUUCACACCCAACUUGUUAAACCGCCUACGCGCCCUUUACGCCCAGUAAUUCCGAACAACGCUAGCCCCCUUCGUAUUACCGCGGCGGCUGGCAC